UAAGAGGUCCCGCCUGCCCAGUGACUAUUAGUUUAACGGCCGCGGUAUUUUGACCGUGCAAAGGUAGCGCAAUCACUUGUCUUUUAAAUGAAGACCUGUAUGAAUGGCACCACGAGGGCUCAACUGUCUCCUUUUUCCUGUCAAUGAAAUUGAUCUCCCCGUGCAGAAGCGGGGAUUUUUCCAUAAGACGAGAAGACCCUAUGGAGCUUUAGGCGCUAGAACAGACUAUGUUAAGCACCAAUCAUAAAAGACAAAACUAAUUAGACCCUGCUCAAGUGCCUUUGGUUGGGGCGACCGCGGGGAAACAAAAAACCCCCAUGUGGACUAGGAGCAUCACUCCCACAACCCAGGGCUACAGCCCUAAGUAACAGAAUCUCUGACCAUGCAUGAUCCGGCACAACCGAUCAACGAACCGAGUUACCCUAGGGAUAACAGCGCAAUCCCCUUCUAGAGUCCAUAUCGACAAGGGGGUUUACGACCUCGAUGUUGGAUCAGGACAUCCUAUUGGUGCAGCCGCUAUUAAGGGUUCGUUUGUUCAACGAUU
rnacentral:rRNA from 1 species